UACGAAGGGUGCAAGCGUUAAUCGGAAUUACUGGGCGUAAAGCGUGCGUAGGCGGACUUGUAAGUCGGAUGUGAAAGCCCCGGGCUCAACCUGGGAAUGGCAUUCGAGACUGCGGGGCUGGAGUUUGGGAGAGGGUGGUGGAAUUCCCGGUGUAGCGGUGAAAUGCGUAGAGAUCGGGAGGAACAUCAGUGGCGAAGGCGGCCACCUGGCCUAAAUAUGACGCUGAGGCACGAAAGCGUGGGGAGCAAACAGG
rnacentral:rRNA from 1 species